CCCAAAAUCACACAGCAAAACCCAACCCCUUUCUGCUUUCUCCUUAGUCUCCAAAUCAAACUCGCAGAGAAAUCGACCCCAAAAUUAAAGAAUUUCUUGAGGAUUUCAAUUGAGUCUUUAAACCCAAUCCAAAUUCAAUUGUCCCCAGAUCGAACCAGUUCUUCAAACUUUCCACACCACACCACCACCACCAUCCUCCUCCACCAAUCUAAUUCUGCUUCUCUUCGAUAUUCUCUGAACUGUUGGUGUUUGAUCACGUUGGUGCCUGAUGUGUUUAUGUGCCUAAAGAAGCGAAGCAGAAGCUCAAACUUGGAUCUCAAUGUAAGCAUUGUGUUUGUCAUUUUUGACUCCUUAACUGCAUUCCCCUAUCAAACAUAGAUAUAUAUGUAGGAUAAAAGUCAAUUUUGCAUAGUAAGUGAUAUGCUGAACUUUUGAGAUUUGAGUGAUCAUUUAGCUUGAAACAACUAAAGAUGUCAUACUUUGUUUGUACAUGCUCAAGUCGAUACUUAUAAUGCUGUUGCGCAUAAUUUAGUAAUGUUGCUAUUGUGUAAGAAUGUCAUAAUUUUUUCGUACACGCUCAAGUCGAUAUUUACCAUGGUGAAGGAUAAUUUAGCAAUGUUGUUGCACAUAAUUUAGUUAGAUGUUGUUGUUAUGUAAGAUUGUUGCUCACAGAAAUUUAAUUCUCUUUCUACGUCUUCACGAGACUAUUGUAAAUUUGAUAUAAUCAAGGGACAAAUAAAUCAGGAUUCUCAGUCAGCUCUCUUUUUCAAACUCAAGCGAACGCUAUCGGACAUCGAUCACUUUCCUUCUCAGCAGACUUAAAGCCAAGAAAUUUGAUCUACUGAAAAGAAGAAACAUCCAUCUCUUACUCACACCAAUAUAAGGGAAGAAGAAUAAUAAUUUGUAAUUAGAACUUAUUUUGAAGCUACAGAAACUAUAUACUGAUGGUUAUGCAUUCUUCUUUCUCAAUCCUAGACAAUUAGGUUAGUGGUGCAAUUAUGUAUGAGUUUCAGACGUUAGUGGUAAUGUAUUAGUAAUGCAUAAACAAAAAAGCUCAUGUUGUGUAAAUGAAUGGCAUUGACCGAAAAAUUGUUAAUCGAAAAGUUCAAUGUAUUUUAUUUUUAACAGAA